rnacentral:rRNA from 1 species
GGGGGGGGGGGGGGGGGGGGGGGGCGGGGGCGAGGGGGAGGGAGGGGGCCUGGUUGGGUGGGGUGCUCGAGUGGCGGACGGGUUGGUAACCCGUGCGUAACCUGCCCUUGACUUUGUGAUACCUUCAGGCAACUGGUGCUAAUACCGGAUAUGCGCCCCUGCUGCCUGUUGUGGGUUGGACUGUUUCGUCGGUUUGGGAUGCCCCCGCGGCUUAUCCUCGUGUGGGUGGGGUAGUGGCUUACCAAGGCUUUGACGGGUAGCCGGCCUGAGAGGGUGACCGGCAACAUUGGGACUGAGAUACGGCCCAGACUCAUACGGGAGGCAGCAGUGGGGAAUAUUGCACAAUGGGCGGAAGCCUGAUGCAGCAACGCCGCGUGCGGGAUGACGGCCUUCGGGUUGUAAACCGCUUUCGCCUGUGACGAAGCGUGAGUGACGGUAAUGGGUAAAGAAGCACCGGCUAACUACAUG